rnacentral:tRNA from 1 species
AGUCUCGUAGCUCAGCUGGUUAGAGCGCUACACUGAUAAUGUAGAGGUCGG